rnacentral:lncRNA from 1 species
UUUCCCCGGAAUUCCGGGCAAUUCCCGGGAAUUUUGCAGCUCCACCUGCUCCAUGUGGAGGGCGCUGGGGUCGGAGCCGGCGCUGAAUUCCCAAAUCCUGGAGCUGCUCCUGGAAAAGUUGGAUUCGGAAAUUCCCUACAAGGAGAAGAAAUUCCCGCUGGGAAACGGCGCCGAGCGCGUGGCCACGGCAACGGGGCUGGCGGUGAGUGGUCCAGGGGAUUCCCGGAAUUCCAGAGGGAUCCCAGAAUUCCAGAGGGAUUCCAGGGGAUCCCAGAAUUCCAGGGGGAUCCCAGAAUUCCAGGGGGAUCCCAGAAUUCCAGAGGGAUCCCAGAAUUCCAGGGGGAUUCCAGGGGGAUUCCAGAAUUCCAGGGGAUUCCCGGAAUUCCAGGGGGAUCCCAGAAUUCCAGGGAAAUUCCAGGGGAAUUCCCAGAAUUCCAGAGGGAUUCUCCAGGGGGAUUAUCCAGGAAUUCCAGGGGAAUUCCCAGAAUUCCAGAGGGAUUCCAGAAUUCCAGAGGGAUCCCAGAAUUCCAGGGGGAUCCCAGAAUUCCAGGGGAAUUCCCAGAAUUCCAGAGGGAUUCCCGGAAUUCCAGAGGGAUUCCCAGAAUUCCAGAGGGAUUCCAGGGGGAUUUUCCAGGAAUUCCAUGGGAAUGGGUUGGGGGGAGGGAUUUGGGGGUUUGGGGAUGGAGGGAGGGGAAAAAUUCCCAGGGAAAAAUUCCCAAAGGGGGAAAUUCCCAAAGGAAAAAUUCCUAGGGAAAAAAUCCAGGGGGAAAAAAUUCCAAGGGGGGGGAAAUUCCCAGGGAAAACCCCAAAAACUUGGAAUUCUCAGCAGGAAAUUCCCCAAAUCCAUGGAAAUCCCAGCAGGAAAAAAACCCCCAAAUCUGGGAAUUCCCGGCAGGAAAAAUCCAAAGUCCAAGGAAAAAAAUCCAAAUCCAUGAAAAUUCCAGCAGGA